rnacentral:lncRNA from 1 species
AGAUAUAUGAUCUCUGGUUGUUUUGUGAUCCCAGGAUCUACUGAGAUGUAUAGCAUAAGAAGUUAUACACAUCCUGGAUUUUGUAAGUUUCCCAGCUUCUCCAUUGUUCUUGAGUAUCAUUUUUCAGGGCAAUCAUAAAAAUGGGCAGGGCAUGAAGCAUUGCACUUCUAAAACUUGCAAAUCUGAAACCUGGAUUUCCAAACAUAUCAGAGGUAUGUGUAAAAUAAGAAUACCUAUUUUCUGAGUGAAGGCUUGAGGGAGUCCUCUAUGAAUAAAUGACACUAUUUUGACUACCUAGAGGUCAUUUUUGUGUUCCUUUGUUUUAUUUGUUAGACAGGUGGAGCUGCUUGGUAUUUAAAUUCUACCCAGGAGGAAUGUUACUGUAUUUCUUUGGAUUACCUAUCAUUUUCUCCACUGAGAUGAUGAAAGGUUUCAGAUGUCAGAGGAUAAUGGAAAACAGUGAGGUGAAGAGUUCAGCUUUCUGCACAUGCAUCUGACUUUUACCGUCUUGUAAGACAGAGAAUCUAGAUUCUUAUGGCUUAUUAGAAUUUUCUAGGAAGCUUUUAAUAUAUAUCUUUAUACUUGGCUUUACCCCAGUCUUUCUAGGGGUAGGGACUAAAUGAAAAUGAAAUUUUUAUAAACCCUAUUUCCUCUUAAAGUCACUGGCAUUCAUAGGAAAGAUAGUUGCUUAGGAUAAUUAAAUCUUAAAUACUUUAGAAGUAUCCCAUAUUUGGAAAAUAGCCCAGGAAUCACUGGGGGAAAAGAGAGAAAAAAUAAUUGGUUAUGCAGCCGUUUAGACAUCCAAACUUCCUGAAUAACAACUCCAAAUUCUAUUUCGUUUUCUUUUGAAAAGAGGGGCUGGCUACUGUUGGGCCAGUCUGACUUCUAUGACCACCUUCCUUCUGAAGAGCUUUGCUCAUGAUUGACUAGGGACUCAAGCUGAUUGACAGGUUUUCCCAUUGCUGAACAUAUAUUAGAGGCCUGUGUUAAUUAAGAAAUUCUCCCAACUACUUCAAUUUUUUUAGGGUAUACCCUUAGAUUCUGGUAAUUUAUUCAAAACCAAACAAAUGGGUGCCCAGAAUUGUCCAUUUUCAGGUUGUAUAAGGUGUGUGCUCUGUGCUCUCGUUUAAAAACAAGCAAGUAAAGAAACAAGAAAACUUGAACAACAAAGCUAAAAUACAGUUCUCCCAUUGAGUGCAUUCUAACUUUUUAUUUUAUUUUAUUUUAUUUUAUCUUUGGUUAUUUUUCUUAGGUAAAGAACAGCUUCAUUACUGGGUACAAAAAAAAGCAAGAUAAAGAUCAAAACAAACCAUGUGCCACGAGUCCUAAAUAUAUAUCACCAUUCAUUAUGAAAUGUUUAUUCUUAACAAUGAAGUGCUUAAAAAACAAAAUCAAGCUGAAACUUCUAUUUUCCAGUGAAGAACCAAGAUGGAGAUCAUCAACUGGGCAACAUUUGUGGUGUAAUUUCAUGUAGAUCACUGUCAUAAGCUUAUUUUAUACACAAGCACCCAUGUAAAUGUGCACACACUCAAUAGCAAUAUAUGUAGCUCUUUCGUGGAUCAAUUGCCAUAAAAUAUAUAUUAAAAAAUUAUGGCUUGCAGCAAGUGCUAUUGGUUAAUCAUUGAAUAUCCUUAAGUUUUUAAGUGACUCAGAAAUAUUAGUCAUAUGGGAGGAUAAUUUAGCUAAAAUGAAUACAAGGAUUCUUGUACAUUCAUUCUCAUUUCUUUUUUUCUUCUUAGCAGUUGUUUUUCAGGGUACCAACAGGAAUAGCUACAGAAAACAGAACACUUAAAACAGUAAAAUCAAGGCCUUCUAAGUGUAUUAAAAGAGUAGAGAACUAUCCAGAGGUAAUAGGUGAAGCCAGUGCCUCUCUCUAGCAGAGCACCGCAGGAUAAACCAGGAACCAUGGCUCUCAUGGUUUUGCAGUUAGAGCCAGCGUCCUGCCAGCAAUUGAAAGGAGAGAUCUUACCCUGUGCUGUAGGUAGCUUCUGAAAUGGCUGCCAAGGAUCCCUGCUUCCUUGUAUUCACGCCUUGUGUAAUCAUCCCUCUAAGGGUGGGCUGGACCUAGAGACUUGCUUCUAACAAUUGUAAUUCAUCAAAAAUGAUAUGUCACUUCCAAGACUAGAUCCCAACAAGGUUUCAGGUUGAGAACCCUUUCUCGCCCUCUCGUGUGCUGGAUCUGAGGAAAGCAAGCUGCCAUGCUGAGAGCUGCCCUAUGAAGAGGCAAGGUAUUUUGAGGUUCUGGUACUAUGGUAGGCACUAAAAAUUUAGCAGUCAGCAAAUGAUACAACCUCACUCCUUAUGGUGCUUUCAUUAUUACUUAGCAAAAGAGAGCAUCGAUUCUUUGUCAAGCAGACCUGGGCAUUUAUUCCAAUUUCUACGCAUAUUAUCAUGACUUGGAGGAAGUCUUUUAACCUUUCUAAUCUUUAAUUUCUUCUUUUUUAAAAUGUAGGGGUGAUAAAAGUACUUCUUCCAUGAAAUUGCUGGGGGUUAAGUGAGAUAACAGUAAGUUUCUUUGUAAAGAGAUUAUUGUAAGCAUUUAUAACGAGAAGUACUAUGUUGCUGUUCCUCUUAUCUGUAUCCUGGUCAUCAUUGUUAGAAAAGGGCAAACACUUUUUUUCCCAUUUCUUAACUUCCAGAAAGAGAAGUUGUCCCAGAGUACAUUAUAUGUCUCUCUUGUCUUUUUACUCUUUUCACCUUUAGGGAAUUGAAAUAAUUUAUUUUUAAGUCAGUAACUGUGACAGAAGAACACAAAAUCACUGGAUGAGAGAAAUAGAUAAUUUUUAAAGCAAAAAGAUCAGGCAGAGCAGCAUCUUGCAUCAGUUCCUAGCACCCCAGUUCCCACAGGGCAAUAUGAUGAAGGCCAAGUGUUACCUGUGUGUGUAGAGGGUUACAUCACAGGACAGGAACCGUGACAAUAGGAGACUGACUUUCUGUGGGGCUGGUGGCACUUUUAGUUGUCUGGAUUGCAGCAGGGCCCAUUACUAAAGCAAAUAAUAGGGUGGCCCAACGUUUUACGACAAGAUAGAGAAGGAUCCUCUAAGCAUGUGAGAGGCUGAACGUUGAAAAAUAAGUAGGAGCUGACCAAGGUGGUAGGGGUAGAGUGAGGAGAAGGUUCUAAGUAUAAAGAAGAGCAAAGGAGUGAUCACUGCACUGAGAAAGGACUUGGAAAUGACGUGUCUCUGAAAAAAGGCCACUAUGGCAGAACUUCCUAAAGGAAGGGAAAAAGGCAUCAAUAUGAAGCCAGAGAAGGAAGCCAGAACUGGAUCCUAUAAGGACUUAGAGUGCAGGUUGAGGAUUGUACCCUUUAUCUUAAGAAUUACUAUAGUAUAGUAAUAAGGACACUGGGAUAAUUGCAUAAUCGAUUGCAAGAGAACAGAAAUUGAUGAGGAAACCAGUUAGCAGGCUAUAGCAGUUGUCCAAAUGAGGGACAUAAAUGGAAGAAACUUCCUGGGUUGGGCAGGAACUUUCCAAUAUAGAGACUUUCCCUCCACAGAAAGAAGAAAAACAGGUCCUCACUGCCCUAUAGGACAAACCAGAACACGACGGCCAGGAUUCAGCUCCUAACCAAUCAAAUAGAGGAUUCAAAAAUACCCAAUCAAGAGGAGGAUUGAAAAACAGACUCUUCUGAAUGGACAAAGGGAGAAUAUGGGAGGGAACAACAUGGGAAUAUAAGUCAGACUAGCAACGGCACCCUCUUCCGGGUCCCCUUCCACCACGUGGAAGCUUUACUUUUGGUUUGCUCAAUAAACUGCGCUGCUG